rnacentral:rRNA from 2 species
GCCAAGGCCGGGUAGGAGCAUGUGGUUUAAUUCGAAGCAACGCGAAGAACCUUACCUGGUCUUGACAUCUCCUGACAACCCUAGAGAUAGGGCGUUCCCCUUCGGGGGACAGGAUGACAGGUGGUGCAUGGUUGUCGUCAGCUCGUGUCGUGAGAUGUUGGGUUAAGUCCCGCAACGAGCGCAACCCUUGAUCUUAGUUGCCAGCAUUCAGUUGGGCACUCUAAGGUGACUGCCGGUGACAAACCGGAGGAAGGUGGGGAUGACGUCAAAUCAUCAUGCCCCUUAUGACCUGGGCUACACACGUGCUACAAUGGAUGGUACAAAGGGCUGCGAGACCGCGAGGUUAAGCGAAUCCCAUAAAACCAUUCUCAGUUCGGAUUGCAGGCUGCAACUCGCCUGCAUGAAGCCGGAAUCGCUAGUAAUCGCGGAUCAGCAUGCCGCGGUGAAUACUUUCCCGGGCCUUGUACACACCGCCUGUCAAG